GGUCUGAGAGGAUGAUCCGCCACACUGGGACUGAGACACGGCCCAGACUCCUACGGGAGGCAGCAGUGGGGAAUUUUGGACAAUGGGCGCAAGCCUGAUCCAGCCAUGCCGCGUGUCUGAAGAAGGCCUUCGGGUUGUAAAGGACUUUUGUCAGGGAGGAAAUCCCUAGCGCUAAUAUCGCUGGGGGAUGACAGUACCUGAAGAAUAAGCACCGGCUAACUACGUGCCAGCAGCCGCGGUAAUACGUAGGGUGCAAGCGUUAAUCGGAAUUACUGGGCGUAAAGCGUGCGCAGGCGGUUGUGUAAGUCUGAUGUGAAAGCCCCGGGCUCAACCUGGGAACGGCAUUGGAGACUG
rnacentral:rRNA from 1 species